rnacentral:lncRNA from 1 species
CCUCCUGUUUGUUUGUUUUUUUUUUAAUUCAGCCCUCGAGGCAAUUAAUUACAUGGCAAGGCUUUGUCCAAUCUGCACUCUCACUGUGAUGCCCAAGUUGAAGAAAGCAGGGAACUACCACAGUGACUAAGAAGAGUUUCCAUGACAGAAGUGAGGCCUUUUAAAAUUUGUGGAACAUGUUCACGCCUACUUUUAAAAUAAAAUUCCAUGAGAUAGGUAGGGCAGAUAGUGCCCACACAUUUUAUAGGUUGGGAACUUAAGAUACUGAGUGCCUGUUUCCAGGUUUUGUUUAGGGGCAAAUGGCAGAAUCAAGACCAGAACUGUCACUCUCAGCUUAAGUUCUGACUUUUUGGUUGGUGUUGGUUGGAACUCAGAGUCUAGCAUGGGUUUUUUAAUUACAUAAAAUAAAGACUGUGAAGCUACCUUCUUGUUUUACAUCCAGAUCCUUUCCUGAGUCUCUCUGUUUUGGGCUAGUUCAUAAUUGAGCUUCCUUGAUAUUGAGUCAUUUGGGAAUUGGGAAUGACAUAAGCCACUCAUCUUAUUACUGUUGGUCUCUCACCAGUCCACAUUUUAGAGAUAUCUAGGUCCCUGAGAGAAUCCCAAAUAUUAUUUCAGUUCUCCUGUAGCUCAUGAAGCCAUAAAUAUUUCACCUCACCCAGGAGAAUCAAAGCAUUUUCACAUUGGUUCUUACUGGGGAGUUGAGAUAUGGGUAAGUAAUAGGAGUCCCAUUCCUGCUUUGGCUGGGGUUCGGGUCUCCAAUUUCACUGCCAGUGUGUCUCUAAAUCUACACAGUGGGACAGUGGCUACAGCAGACAUCACUCAGCUCCCCACUCCUGACUUGAGACCUUCCACUAGUUGCCCCUUCCCCUAAAAACAGAGUGAUGUCAUAAUGGUAUCAGAAUGGCACUUGCUGAUAACAACACAGAAAUAACAAGGGCAGACUUUCUGCAGUGUCUCCUGAGCAAUUGGUUGUCAUUGUCCUAAACAGAGCAGCUAGGUUAAAAAGAUUUAUCCAUAAUGUAACCUCCUGGCCCUCAGCUAUGGGUGGAAGCAGCACUUUCUGGUUUGACCUCCUAAUACCACAAACUCCACUUUGCCAGAAAAGUGACUUCUUGAUGAAUAGUCUGUUCAGAUAGGCCAAUUUGGAGUAUAUUCAUAUUUGGCCACCUGCUGGAGCGUCAAUGACCAAGAGGAGACCAGAUGAGUUUUCAAAGCAGUCCUCAAACACCCAGGACACACCUCAUCCUUUACCUCGUGCUUUCUGCAAUGUUGCUGUUCAUGUUCAUCUUCCUAUUAACAUUUGCCAUAAUAACCCCUCAUUGACCACCAUCAUUCCUCCAUCCACCACCAACUCAGCUCCUUCUCUAAAGUGCCCUCUAAUGGGCAGUGGCUUUGGUCUCUGUUUGGCAAAUUAUGUCCAGAGGGUUAACAUUAAUUUCUCUUUCUCCUAUUCCUCCCUCAUGCUAGAUUCAGUCCAUCACUCAGCCUCCUGUCAGGAAAACCAUAGCAAAUCCUACUUUCUGCUAAAAUGAAGUUACAAGACACUUUUCCAGAGUAGUCACACUCAAUGAAGGGACCCAGGGUGUAUCUGAGUGUGAUGUAAUUGAAACCACAUGGAAAGACUAGAAAUACCUUGCUCCCAGUCAGAUAUAGUGAAACAGCUUACUCAAGACUGGACUAAGAUUUAGAAUAUAGGGGGGCUAGGGAGGAGAAAGAGAAAGAUCCUCAGAAGUGGAUUGUCCCUGAAUACAGGAUGAAAUCAUCUAGAUUUUUUUCUCCAAUUAAAUUUGCAUUUCAUUCAACCACAUUGCAAUGGCUUCAUACUGGGCAUUUUCAUUUGAGACCCAAGGCUUUUCUUCAUGGGUCCUGAGCCACAGGUUCCUGGAUGGUGAGGUAAGCUAGCACUGAUGGAAGAUACCAGGUUUUCAAAUGUGAACUGAAGUCUCUCUUCUCAUGACAAGAUUCAGAUCCAAUUCAUUAUUUAACUAAUAGCCUCUCCAAUAAGUACAAAAAAUCUUGCCUAUCCAGCAGAUAUGUUAGUCCAUUAUUCCUCUAUGUCCCCCAGCCUAUACUUAUUAGACUAGGAAUUAAAGAAAUACAAUCCCCAUUCUUUACUCUUGGCCUACCAGAUAUAGUGAUCCAAGCUUAGUAGAUCAGCAGCUAAUUGCAAGGCUGCUUUAAUAGUGAAUGAAUAAAAAGUUCUGCUAAUUCAGACCUACCCAACACCCAUGAAUUUGUGAUUGAGCUAUCUCUCUGCCUGCUGAAUUCAGGUAGAUAAACAACUGUCCUUCAACCACAAGGUUAAGGCUAAACUUAUGCAGGUAUCUCUAAACAUGCUGCAGAUUGUUCUUUUCUCUCUGUGGCCAUGCUUCCCAACCCCUGACACCUUUCUAUUUAGCCUCUGCUAAGCUCAAGUGUGCUGGAAUCCUGAUCCCUGCCCCAGCCUCAGCCCCCUAUCAUGUGCUUGCUUUAGCUCCCCUGUCUUUGCUGAGAUCCUCACCAUGAAACCAACUCUAGGUAUUCCUGAGUGACUCUCUAGGUUCUCAUUCUCUCCAAUGUGCCUUUUAUCAGCAAGGCAUGGGAAAACCUAUCAUCUGGUUCUCCAAGGUGUCCAGCAGUUAGAAUGGCUGAGAGGAGGGCAUUUGAGUUUGCCCAUCGAUAAUGGGGUUGUGCGAAAAGCAGAUAUUGUCUCAACUGUUCUGAAGUUGAACAAUGUUACUUUCAGGUGAAUAGACUGUUGAGACUAUUUUGAGUUGUUGAUGGCAACCAAAAAAAAAGGGGGAAGGGGUGGAAUUACAGUCACUUUCCUCCAGCAUCCAGUGGUCCUUAAAACUUUCACCCUCAAAUCUCCAAAUAUGCUGGCUUCUAAGAAGUGCUUUCCAAGACCGAAUAUACUUCUUGAUCAGGGUAAGUGAUGAAAAUGUGUAUUUAACAAGGGGAGGGGAUCUUGAAAUAGCCUGAAUUAUGCAUGCUGUGGCCUAUCUACCCCCACCGUGCUAAUGGCUCAGCCUAUAAAGUUUUCAGAAUCAGAAAAAUAAUCAGAGAUGCUAGUUUCUGAAGGAGCGACGGAGGACUAGGAUGACUAGCUAACUCAAGGUGCAUGUAGACUUUCUGCUGUUCUUACUUUAGGAAAGGUUUCUUGGAAGACUGGACCAGGGAGUUCCUAAUUCUUCCCUGGACCAUCUCAGGGGCAUCCUCGGUGUGAGUGGAAGCAUGCUUGGAUGCAGCAGCCUGAAUGAAUGUCAAGUUCACUGCAUCUCCACCACAAACUGGUUGGUUUCAGGCAAAUCCCUUGAGUUUUGGAUGAGGCUAAACCAGCUAGGGCUUUCCUUGAAAUAGGAUGGAGGGGUCUCUUCUCACAGGCAGAGAGCCUUAUUCAGGGGGCAUCUAUUCGCUAACAGGCUUCUUAGGAGGAAUAGAUCAGUCUCGUUAUUCAGAAAAUGUCUGAGAAAGUCCCAGACACCUCCAACUCCACAUGUUGGGGGAUAGACCUGGAAUAUUAAAGAUCAGAGGUUGGAAUCGAGGCAACAUGAUGGAGUGAUGUGGCAUGAGUAUUGGAGCCAUACAGAUAUGAAUUUGAUCUGAUCCUUAGUUUUGUAACUUCAAGUUCUAAGACUUUUAGACAAGCUGUUUAAACGUUAUGGUCUCCAUUUCCCUAGCUUUCAAAUGGGAAAAAUAAUAACUGUUUUGGGAGUGAUUUCUAU